UGUUAAAAUUUUCAUCCAUUUGUACUAUUAAAGACUACCGUGGCUAAUGAAAUAAUCAAAUAGUGACACGUGACAUGCUGCGUGUACCUCAUGCUGACAUGUAAGGCCCUUUUUUAAACAGUACAAAUGGAUGAAAUGUUUAACA
rfam:Gossypium raimondii Chr13_contig_41, whole genome shotgun sequence.